rnacentral:lncRNA from 12 species
UAAUUCCCUACUGGCCCCAAGUUGUCCAGUCUCCUUUACAUUCUCACUUCUCUUUGUUAUGUUUCCUUGAAGCUGAACGUCCCUGGAGAAGGAAAGCUCAGAGUUUCUGGUGCUGGGGAAGAAAUGCUUCAAGAAAAAGAAAAAUAAUCGCAGCUGCAAUGUUAAAAAUAAGAAGCUAAUCAAAGGCAGCCCAUGUGGGCGCCACUUUCAUCUCUCAUCUUCAAAGAGGUGCAAACAAACAUUGUCGGCGUGCCAAGCAGCAGCCUCAGUGCCUGAUGAUCCCAUUACUCCUCCAGCGUCCACCCUCCCUUUCCAUGCUGCUGAGCCUGUAGGCAUGGGACUCCAGGAUCACUGCCAAGACACACUGGACUGCAGUUCUGCCAUGCUCUGAAAAUUUGCUGUACUGCACUCUAGAUGUGGUGCCUUUCACAGACAGGUAAGGUUAUACCUGUCUGAUGAUAAUGAUGAUCAUGAUCAUGAUCAUGAUCAUGAUUACAUUAUCAGUUUAUUUUAUUUGUUUGUAACUCACUUUAAUAUUAGAAAUGUAAAUGAUUAGGUUGCCUCUCUUGAUCAGGCUGUCAGAAGACGCAAUGAGGAAGGAUAAUAGAAUUGGGAGUAGCCAAUCUUUAAACUAAACUAAAUCCAGGACUCACUCAGUUAUUUAGAUUAUAUUAAACAUAUGCAGGUUCUUAUCCAGCCUGUACUUGCCACAAUUCUGCAAAUACAAAGCUACUAAUCAGGUGUGCUGGGCCUGCCCUGCUGAAGGAUAGUCGGAUACGUAUCAUGGUGAUGUCUGGAAGGGAAACUGCUAGUUGAUCAAAGCCUUGUGCUCAGACAGCGCUGAGUGCUGAUGGAGUGAUAGAGACAAUAAGGUAGAAAGACAGUGGCUGGUUUACAUCUCAUCCAGCAGAAGCUGUUAUGAGGGACUUAUUGAUCUCUGAUUCAGCCAUGGCUGUUA